rnacentral:lncRNA from 1 species
GGGCUAUCGUUAACUCAGUCGACCACUGGCUGAGAUAGUGACUUGUCCUCACUUUUGUUGGUUUAGGAGUUACGAGGGAGAUGGAGUCAUGUUUCCGUUUGGCCUUGAUUAUCACGUAAGCAAGCACGAUUUACUUCCCAUUCAAAUACAAAUGCUAUCUUUGUUGUAGAAGUUGACUACUUUCAACUACGUAACUUGUAAUUUGGUAUGAGAAAUAUGUCUUUAUUCAUCCAUUGGUUUUGUGCAGGUACGAUUAGAUUGACCAUGAAAUUUCCUUGGAUGGACCACAUGAAUGCGAUGGCUUGGGGCAAGUAUAGGCCCCCUGAAGUCCAAAUCUCAAAGUAAGGUCUAAAAAUCGUGCAUUCAAUUCUAUACAUGUCUUCUCGUUAGCCGUCACUAACUUGAGUUAGAAGUUCCUUGGGUUCUUCACUGGGUGGGGCUCUCACGAUGGAUCUAGUCAACUUCUUCGUCGAGCUUCUAUAAGUCGGUACGAUUUAGUCAUUUUCAUGUGUGAUACUUUGACUAUUUCAUAUUAUACUUAUUUGCCGAACUACUCGCGAAUACAUAUAUCUCCACACCUCUAAAUAUUGAGAUAUGUAACAAUUAUAUUAAUUUUUUUAUAUUUAUCUUCUUGAGGGCUAUUGGUAACUCGGAAGGCCACCGAUCGAGAUAGUGAUCUUCACUUUUGUAGGUUUAGGAGUCACAGGAGAAAUGGAGUCAUGUUUUUGUUCGGCCUUGAUCAUAACGCAAGUAAGUACGAUUUUCUUCCUCUCCAAAUACAAAUGCUACCUCUGUUUUGAUAAUUGAUUACCAUUAACUACGUUACUUGGUAAUUUAGUAAGAGGAAUAUGUCUUUAUUCACUAUAGGUUUUGUGUAGAUACGAUUAGAUUGACCAAAAAGUUUUAUUGCAUUGGACAACGUGAAUGCAAUGCCUUGGUCUAAAGUAAAGGCCUCCUCUUAUAUAAAGAUUCACAUCUCAAAGUAAGGUCUACAAAUCGUGCAUUCAAUUCUCCAUAUAUGUCUUCUCGUGGUCAGUAACUAACUUGAGCUCGAAGUUCUCCGAAUUCCUCAAUGGGUGGGGCACUAACUGGGUCUUCAUUUGUAGGUCUCCGACUCAUGGUGGAUCUAGUUAUCUUUUUCGCGAAGCUUUUAUAAAUUGAUACGAUUUAGUUAUUGCCAUGUGUGAUACUUUGACUAUUUUAAAUUUUGCUUAUUUGAAUUUUUGUAGAAUGAGUAUUGAUUAUUUCACAAU